CCUACGGGAUGCAGCAGUGGGGAAUUUUGGACAAUGGGCGAAAGCCUGAUCCAGCUAUGCCGCGUGAGUGAAGAAUGCCUUCGGGUUGUAAAGCUCUUUCGGUAGGGAAGAAGUUUAUCUGUUGACGAGAUGGAUAGAUUGACGGUACCGACAGGAGUAGCACCGGCUAACUACGUGACAGCAGCCGCGGUAAUACGUAGGAUGCGAGCGUUAAUCUGAAUUACUGGGGGUAACGGGUGCGCAGGUGGCUACAUAAAGCAGAUGUGAAAUCCCCGGGCUUAACCGGGGAACUGCGUUUGUAACUAGGUGGCUUGAGUACAGCAGAGGGGGGUGGAACUCCAUGUGUAGCAGUGAAAUGCGUAGAUAUAUGGAAGAACAUCGAUGGCGAAGGCAGCCCCCUGGGUUGCUACUGACGCUGAUGCACGAAAGCGUGGGGAGCAAACAGGAUUAGAUACCCUUGUAGUC
rnacentral:rRNA from 1 species